rnacentral:rRNA from 1 species
CAUGCUUUAUGGAUAUAUGAGACCGAAUAUGCAAUUCUAUUUACCCACUUUAAAUUGGGUAUCUGUUUCCAUUCUUUUCCCACUAGGAUCAGAAAUCAUGUAUUUUCCAUAUCCAUAUGUUUCCGAAAUAGUGUACUAGAGAAAAGAAGUGCUUCGAAUCAUUGUGUGAUGCCAUGGAUCAUCACAAUAAUAACAAGUGACUUGCGCAUCGUCAGUGCAAUCGGUAGCCACCCGACUCUUGUGAUCCACAGCUCCAGGAGCAGAAGCAGAACUACCCACUAG